rnacentral:tRNA from 1 species
GCGCCCGUAGCUCAACAGGAUAGAGCAUCGGCCUUCUAAGCCGAGGGUUGCAGGUUCAAGCCCUGCCGGGUGCGCCA